CCACAUCCUUCCUACUUGUCAAUAGAGCGCGAAAAAACAGGUUUGUAACGACUUGGUGGUUAAAAAGGAGGAAAAGGACGUUUUAAUUCCCAAAAAAACAACAGCAGUAGUUUUACGACAGUCGUGAGAGAACGUAAAGGCGCUUACUUGAAGAGGCGGACAAAAGGUGGUCUUCACCGUCGUCAAUGUUAAAGGUAAAUGGAGACGUUUUCUCCCCAAUUUUUUUUUUUCUGAGUUGGUGAGAUUUAGCUGGCCCAUGUGCACCAUGCGUCACUAGGUAGUCGACGACCGCCCGACGUGUGGUUGGUUGGCGGGUACUUGAGUCUACUUCCUUCUGUAGUGCGGUGAACCGGCAUCACUUCCGGUGCGGACUCGCAUUACAGCGGCCUGUGAGCCAGCAGGAGGAGACAGAGCCCGAGACUUGAGAAGCAGACCCUGGAUGUGUCACGAUGGGGUCAGGUCGCAUAUUUGUGCGUGGAUCGUUUUCCCAGGAUGCAGACGGAACUCUGCAGGCAGCAUGCAGGCCACUUGCUCUUCCUCCUGGGUCACUGGUCUGAUGUCUCUCCUGAUUGCCUGAUUGUGCUCACCUGUGUCACCCUCCCUCAUGUGUGUACUGUAUAUAGUCCUCGUCGUCCCCUGUCAGAGUAUAUUGCCUUGUCAUGUACCGCCAGCCGUAGUCCACAGUCUUGACCCAAGAUGUUACUGUAAGUAUUGCCUCGCCUUAUUAAUUGAUUUCUUUGUACCCUCUGAGAAAGAGAGAUUUUGGUUUGCUAAAGUUGGUUGGUCAGUUUUUUGUUUUAAUUUUUAUAGUGCUCUGCAUUCCUUUUUUCAUCCUUUUGGAGCGCUUUAGUUUGUAGUUCUCUCUGCUCUUUAUAGCGUAUUUUCUGUUUAUAGCUUCUUGUCUCGUCCUCUGCAUGAGUGAUUUUCCUUUUUGUAGCUAAUCACAGAUUGUUGUUUUUUUUUGUUAUUAGGUUAGUGUAGAAUUUUGCAUUGCAUUUUUCCUCUCUAUGGAGUGGUUUUCCGUUUGUUUUAUACCCUGUGCUAUGUAUCUUUUGUGACGCUAGUGUAUCAAGUAGGGGUGUGGAAAAAAAUCCAUUCGAAUCGAAUACGUUGUGCGAUUCAGAAUCGAUUCUCAUUAAAAAAAAAAAAAAAAAAUUGAUUAAAAUUAUUAUUUUUUUUAAUCAAUCCAACAAACCACUACACAGCAAUACCAUAACAAUGCAAUCCAAUUCCAAAACCAAACCUGACCCAGCAACACUCAGAACUGCAAUAAACAGAGCAAUUGAGAAGACACAAACACGACACAGAACAAAACCAAAAGUAGUGAAACAAAAAUGAAUAUUAUCAACAACAGUAUCAAUAUUAGUUAUAAUUUCAGCAUAGCAGUGAUUAAAAAUCCCUCAUUGACAUUAUCAUUAGACAUUUAUAAAAAUAAAAAAAGAACAAUAGUGUCACAGUGGCUUACACUUGCAUGGCAUCUCAUAAGCUUGAUAACACACUGUGUCCAAUAUUUUCACAAAUAUUAGAAUAAGUCAUAUUUUUGGUUUGAUUAAUAGUUAAAACAAAUUUAUAUUAUUGUAAUCAGUUGAUAAAACAUUGUCCUUUACAAUUAUAAAAGCUUUUUAAAAAAAAAAUCUACUACUCUGCUUGCAUGUCAGCAGACUGGGGUGGAUCCUGCUGAAAUCCUAUGUAUUGAAUGAAUACAGAAUCCUUUUGAAUCAGAAAAAUAUUGUUUUUGAAUCGGGAAUCGAAUCGAAAAAAACGAUAUAUUAUCAAAUAGUGACCCCAAGAAUCGAUAUUGAAUCAAAUCGUGGGACACCCAAAGAUUCGCAGCCCUGGUAUGAAGUAUAGAUUUUCUAGCCCUUUUUGUUUAAAUCACUCUGUCCAAAAAGGUCAAAGAAACUGUUGUAAUAAAGCCUGUGUCAAUCGUC